GAUGAACGCUGGCGGCGUGCCUAACACAUGCAAGUCGAGCGAACGGACGAUAAGCUUGUUUCUUUGAUGUUAGCGGCGGACGGGUGAGUAACACGUGGAUAACCUACUUAUAAUUCUGGGAUAACUUCGGGAAACCGGCGCUAAUACCGGAUAAUAUUUUGAACCGCAUGGUUCAAAAGAGAUAGACGGCCUUGCUGUCUCUUAUAGAUGGUUCCGCGCUGCAUUAGCUAGUUGGUAAGGUAACGGCUUACCAAGGCUACGAUGCAUAGCCGACCUGAGAGGGUGAUCGGCCACACUGGAACUGAGACACGGACCAGACUCCUAAGGGAGGCAGCAGUAGGGAAUCUUACGCAAUGGGCGAAAGCCUGACGGAGCAACGCCGCGUGAGUGAUGAAGGUCUGCGGAUCGUAAAAAUCUGUUAUUGGGGAAGAACAGAUGUGGAAGUAAAUGUGGACAUCUUGACGGUACCUAAUCAAAAAGCAACGGCUAACUACGUG
rnacentral:rRNA from 1 species